rnacentral:rRNA from 1 species
UACGGGGGGGGCAGGCGUUGUUCGGAAUUACUGGGCGUAAAGGGCUCGUAGGCGGCCAACUAAGUCGGACGUGAAAUCCCUCGGCUUAACCGGGGAACUGCGUCCGAUACUGGAUGGCUUGAGUUCGGGAGAGGGAUGCGGAAUUCCAGGUGUAGCGGUGAAAUGCGUAGAUAUCUGGAGGAACACCGGUGGCGAAGGCGGCAUCCUGGACCGACACUGACGCUGAGGAGCGAAAGCCAGGGGAGCAAACGGG